GCCAUAGCCCAGUGGGAGAGCAUCCGCCUUGCAUGCAGAAGGUCCCAGGUUCAGUCCCCAGCAUCUCCUGGUAGGGCU
rnacentral:tRNA from 1 species